GACGAACGCUGGCGGCGUGCUUAACACAUGCCAGUCGAACGGAAAGGCCCUGCUUUUGUGGGGUGCUCGAGUGGCGAACGGGUGAGUAACACGUGAGUAACCUGCCCUUGACUUUGGGAUAACUUCAGGAAACUGGGGCUAAUACCGGAUAGGAGCUCCUGCUGCAUGGUGGGGGUUGGAAAGUUUCGGCGGUUGGGGAUGGACUCGCGGCUUAUCAGCUUGUUGGUGGGGUAGUGGCUUACCAAGGCUUUGACGGGUAGCCGGCCUGAGAGGGUGACCGGCCACAUUGGGACUGAGAUACGGCCCAGACUCCUACGGGAGGCAGCAGUGGGGAAUAUUGCACAAUGGGCGGAAGCCUGAGGCAGCAACGCCGCGUGCGGAUGACGGCCUUCGGGUUGUAAACCGCUUUCGCCUGUGACGAAGCGUGAGUGACGGUAAUGGGUAAAGAAGCACCGGCUAACUACGUG
rnacentral:rRNA from 1 species